GACCUCAAAUGGCGUAAGGAAAAUGGCGUCGACGACAUAUUAAGCAGCUACAAGAUACCGGAGCUGGUGAAGGAGAAUUUCCCAGGGGUAAUACUUCACCCGUGCAAGGAUGGACGACCGAUAUGGCUUAUUCCAGCAGGAAUCGACUUGAAAGCACUUGUGGCGGCCCUAACUCCAGCCGUUGUGCUGCGACACUGCAUCUACAUGCUGGAAUAUACGGAAUCACUGAAACGAUCCGAAUCAAAAGGG